rnacentral:rRNA from 1 species
GAGUUUGAUCAUGGCUCAGGAUGAACGCUGGCGGCGUGCCUAAUACAUGCAAGUCGAGCGAACGGACGAGAAGCUUGCUUCUCUGAUGUUAGCGGCGGACGGGUGAGUAACACGUGGAUAACCUACCUAUAAGACUGGGAUAACUUCGGGAAACCGGAGCUAAUACCGGAUAAUAUUUUGAACCGCAUGGUUCAAAAGUAAAAGACGGUCUUGCUGUCACUUAUAGAUGGAUCCGCGCUGCAUUAGCUAGUUGGUAAGGUAACGGCUUACCAAGGCAACGAUGCAUAGCCGACCUGAGAGGGUGAUCGGCCACACUGGAACUGAGACACGGUCCAGACUCCUACGGGAGGCAGCAGUAGGGAAUCUUCCGCAAUGGGCGAAAGCCUGACGGAGCAACGCCGCGUGAGUGAUGAAGGUCUUCGGAUCGUAAAACUCUGUUAUUAGGGAAGAACAUAUGUGUAAGUAACUGUGCACAUCUUGACGGUACCUAAUCAGAAAGCCACGGCUAACUACGUCG